rnacentral:rRNA from 1 species
UACGAAGGGGGCUAGCGUUGCUCGGAAUUACUGGGCGUAAAGCGCACGUAGGCGGCUUCUUAAGUCGGUGGUGAAAUCCUGGAGCUCAACUCCAGAACUGCCUUCGAUACUGGGAAGCUCGGAGUCCGGGAGAGUGAGUGGAACUGCGAGUGGUAGAGGUGAAAUUCGUAGAUAUUAGGAAGAACACCAGUGGCGAAGGCGGCUGAGCAC